CCUAACUAGUUUGUACGCUGCCCUGCAUCAGCGCUUCUCUCCCCAGGCACUUCCUGCCGAGCUCUGCGUCAGCGCAGCAUCUGCGCUCCUCCUUGUUCCUCAGCCGAUCACUUCAGUUACUGAUCGCCAAGCCAGUGCUGCAGUGGACGAUCCUGCGUGCCCGGUUUAAGCUGCCUUUUAAUAAAUAUCAGAGUUUACUGCUCA